rfam:Brassica rapa chromosome A5, whole genome shotgun sequence.
GGAAUAUAAGAAACCGUUUCUUAACUUUUAACUAAAAAAAUUAAUAACCCUCUUAAAUAAGAUAUUUAAGAGCCGGUUAUUAGCUUUUUUUAGUUAAAAGUUAAGAGACGAAACAGUUUCUUAUAUUCC